CCCUAUCGAGCUUGAUUUAAAAGUAUGCCCUCAUACCUAAAAUUUUGUUGGGGCAACAAGAGAAAAUCUAAAUCUUCUCUUUUAUAUAUAAAGAUCCGCUAUGCGAUUAAAAAAUAAAGCUACCGUAGGGAUAACAGGCUAAUUCUUUUUGAGAGACCAUAUUGACAAAAGAGAUUGGCACCUCGAUGU
rnacentral:rRNA from 1 species